rnacentral:SRP_RNA from 1 species
GCUGGGCAUGGUGGUGCAUGCCUGUAAUCCCAGCUACUUGGGAUGCUGAGGCAGGAGAAUUGCUUGAGCCCGGAGGGCAGAGGUUGCAGUGAGCCAAAAUUGUGCCACUGUACUCCAGUCUGGGCGACAGAGCAAGACUCUGUCUCAA